rnacentral:rRNA from 1 species
AUUACGAGCUAAAACUUAAAACCCAAAGGACUUGACGGUGUCCCACUCCCCCUAGAGGAGCCUGUGCUAUAAUCGACUAUACCCGCUAAACCCAACUGCUUUUUGUUAUCAGCUUGUAUACUUCCGUCGUAAGCUCACCAUGUUGAAAGAUAUAUAGUAAGCCCAAAGGGUCACCCCCAACACGUCAGGUCAAGGUGCAGCCAAUAAAGCAGACAGUAAUGGGCUACAGUUUCUAUGAUAGAACCAACGAAAAGCCAUAUGAAAUACGGCCACGAAGCAGGAUUUAGAAGUAAAAAGAAAAUAAAGUGUUCUUUUUAACUAGGUACUGGGACGCGUACAAACCGCCCGUCACCCUCUUCACUUAUACCUAAUAGCUCUAUAACCCCUAAAUCAUACACUAGAA